rnacentral:rRNA from 1 species
CUACGUGCCAGCAGCCGCGGUAAUACGGAAGGUCCGGGCGUUAUCCGGAUUUAUUGGGUUUAAAGGGAGCGUAGGCUGGAGAUUAAGUGUGUUGUGAAAUGUAGACGCUCAACGUCUGACUUGCAGCGCAUACUGGUUUCCUUGAGUACGCACAACGUUGGCGGAAUUCGUCGUGUAGCGGUGAAAUGCUUAGAUAUGACGAAGAACUCCGAUUGCGAAGGCAGCUGACGGGAGCGCAACUGACGCUGAAGCUCGAAGGUGCGGGUAUCGAACAGGAUUAGAUACCCUGGUAGUCCGCACAGUAAACGAUGGAUGCCCGCUGUUGGUACCUGGUAUCAGCGGCUAAGCGAAAGCAUUAAGCAUCCCACCUGGGGAGUACGCCGGCAACGGUGAAACUCAAAGGAAUUGACGGGGGCCCGCACAAGCGGAGGAACAUGUGGUUUAAUUCGAUGAUACGCGAGGAACCUUACCCGGGCUUGAAUUGCAGAGG